rnacentral:rRNA from 1 species
AGUGAACGCUGGCGGUAGGCCUAACACAUGCAAGUCGAACGGCAGCACAGUAAGAGCUUGCUCUUACGGGUGGCGAGUGGCGGACGGGUGCGGAAUACUUCGGAAUCUACUUUUUCGUGGGGGCUAACGUAGGGAAACUUACGCUAAUACCGCAUACGACCUACGGGUGAAAGCAGGGGAUCUUCGGACCUUGCGCGAUUGAAUGAGCCGAUCUCGGAGUAGCUAGUUGGCGGGGUAAAGGCCCACCAAGGCGACGAUCCGUAGCUGGUCUGAGAGGAUGAUCAGCCACACUGGAACUGAGACACGGCCCAGACUCCGACGGGAGGCAGCAGUGGGGAAUAUUGGACAAUGGGCGCAAGCCUGAUCCAGCCAUACCGCGUGGGUGAAGAAGGCCUUCGGGUUGUAAAGCCCUUUUGUUGGGAAAGAAAAGCAGCAGGUUAAUACCCCGCUGUUCUGACGGUACCCAAAGAAUAAGCACCGGCUAACUUCGUG